rnacentral:lncRNA from 1 species
GGGAUUAUACCAAACUUGCUCACAAGGAUUGUAGCAAGAAAAGCCCACAACAAAUUUCACCGGAUUUGGAGCAAAUCGCGAAGAACGACAAAUCCCCAAAAAUACCUCCAAAAAAUACAAAAAAGAGAAAUCUCAGAUGUUGAGAGGAUGGAACAAAUGAGCACGAAUUUGAUCUUUGGAUUCCUCCACAAUGUUCGAUUACAAGCCACUCUUAAGCACAACCAAAGCUAAGAUGGAAAAAAGAUCAAAUCAAAGAUCCACUCAUCUCACUCCCUCUCUUACCCCCAAAGGCUCUCACCAAAAAUGAGAAGCCCAC